rnacentral:SRP_RNA from 1 species
GCCAGCUGUGGUGGCAGGUGCCUUUAGUCCCAGCUACUCGGGAGGCUGAGGUGGGAGGAUCGCUUGAGUCCAGGAGUUCUGGGCUGUAGCGUGCUAUGCUGAUCUGGUAUCCACGCUAAGAUCGGCAUCAACAUGGUGACCUCCCGGGAGCGGGGGACCACCAGGUUGCCUAAGGAGGGGUGAACCGGCCCAGCUCGGAAACUGAGCAGAUCAAAACUCCGGUGCUGAUCAGCAGUGGGAUCACGCCUGUGAAUAGCCACUGCACUCCAGCCUGGGCAACAAAGUGAGAAACUGUCUCU